UACGAAGGGGGCUAGCGUUGCUCGGAUUGACUGGGCGUAAAGGGCGCGUAGGCGGCUUGUACAGUCAGACGUGAAAUUCCUGGGCUCAACCGGGGAACUGCGUCUGAGACUGGAAGGCUUGAAUUCGGGAGAGGGAUGUGGAAUUCCAGGUGUAGCGGUGAAAUGCGUAGAUAUCGGGAGGAACACCAGUGGCGAAGGCGACUACCUGGCCUGUUCUUGACGCUGAGGCGCGAAAGCUAGGGGAGCAAACGGG
rnacentral:rRNA from 1 species